rnacentral:lncRNA from 1 species
UGAUGGAAACAGACAGAGAAGGGGGGGGGUGGUACUGGGAGUCUAUCCCAGCCGUAUGGCUUAAGGUCUGCCCAGGACAACAUCUUGGCUUGUGGAAAAUCAAGACAUCUCUUACACUGUGCUGACCUCUGUUCACGAUCCACUGUGUCCCUAGGGGUCUGUAAUCCUGAACAAAUGAGAUGAAAGCACUGCCCCUCCCCAGCCAUGGCGCCAGCCAGCCAGCCACCCUCCCCUACCAUGGCUACCCUCUUCGUGAUUUUGGUCUUCGGCAUGGCAUUGAGCCACCUCACUGUCCUCUGUCUCUUGCAGCGUGAUGCGGUGUUUGGGAUCCUCAGCAAAGUGAAGCCUCCCUAUACAUCCUGUGCCGACUGCAUGUACCCAGCAGCUGGGGC